GUCCCGGUAGCUCAGUAGGAUAGAGCGGUUGCCUCCUAAGCAACAGGUCAUGCGUUCGAUUCGCGUCCGGGAUA
rnacentral:tRNA from 1 species